AUUUGAAUGAUUUAUUGUUUUUCUCUCUCCACCAAAAACUGGAUGACAAAAGUCUUCAAUUUGUUGCUUUGGUCUCAAUUAACCCUUUUUUUAAAGGACAAUGUAGACAAAGA